AAAUAUACUUUAAAAGAAGCCAGUCACAAAAGACCAUAUAUUGUACAGUUCCAUGUAGAUGAAGGCAAAUCUACAGAGACAAAAAACAAGUAGUUGUCUAAAACAGUGUUGGGCAAAAAUGGCAGUGAAUGCUAAUGGGCACAGAGUUCUUCAGCAGUGAUAAACACAGUCCAAAACUGAUUAGAGUGAUGGCUGCUCUGCUCUGGGUAUACUACAAAAACCCUCUGAGCUGUAUCCUUUAAAUCAAAUUGGACGGCACAUGAAUGAUUUCUCAAUAAAGAUACUUCACACACACACAAAGAUAGACAAACUUUUGAGCACAUAAAAUCAACAUUAAUACGGCCUACCACAACCACUUAGGAUACUCAGGACAGAAAAAUCCCAAAAUCUGAAACUUUCCAGCCACACUCAAACUAAUUUUGUGAGUACCUACGUCUGAAAAGAGGUAUAAUUAGUUGUUUAAAAAUAACAUUGACUUUUCAAGUUUCUAAUACCCAAGAUAUUUUAAUUUUCUGCUUCAUCUGUUUACCAGGAAGGAAAUCCCUCAAUUAUAUUCAUACGAAUACAGUCUAUAAACUGUCUCGUCCUGUAUAAACUUUAUUCCUAAAUCCGUCUAGAUAUAAUUCAAUACUUUUCAGUUCAUACAUUCUGCCUUUUUAAGAGUCUAAAACACAGAUCUCCAACCCUGUCUCAGCAAAGCUGACAUUCUUCAGUGACUCUAGCACUAGAUAAAGUGCAUAAUUCGCCUCCCGACAGAGACUCGGAAAGGCGAAUCUGGUUACGAGAGACACGUUACGAUUCUCUAGUCACCGGAUUAAAAUUUAAACCAUACAGGUGAAGUAAAUGUUCACAAACGUAAGCAUAGGGAGAGGUUAUACACUUUUACAAUGAAGUGUUCCCCUCUGAGCUCUCAUUUAAUGAAGUACCAAGAACUCAAAUGCUAUUCUGCAACAAACAGGGCUCCUAUAAAGGCAGCCCAGGACGCCAGCACUCGAGAACACUAGAACCUGCCAUCAGGAUCGCCCUUAACGUUAUGAAAUCUCUUCUCGAUCCCUUAGUGCCACAAUAAAAACGCCCGACUGGAGGAGGGGGCCGGGCCGCCCUGCGCGAAGGCUGCCCGGGCAGACUCCGCUCCGUCCUCCUCGCGCGCCCGGAACGUCAGCGGCGCGGGCCCCGAGGGCCAGCCCUGCCGGCGGCCCAGAAAGCGGCCACUGGACGUGCGCGUUCCGGAGCCCGUUUUCGUUUUGUUUAAGAAAACAGAUUCCGAUCAGAUCCCGGUCUCCUACCCCCGGGAACGGGGGAAGCGGCAGCAAGAGGCCAGCGAGGACAGCGAGAAUAAAAGAACGGCCGAGAACAACCUGUCGUGCGAGCGAGCACGGAGGAAGGGAAAGGAAGGAUCACUUUGGCUGCAAGUUUCCUUGGCUCGUGCUCAGCCUGUGUGUUCCAUGUUCCAUCUACACCUUCAGUCUUCUCAAGCCAACCUCCUCAGAGCCUCGCUCACAAACUCCCACACUGGAUACCUUGCGCCACAUCCUUGGUGCUUUCUAGCAAGAAGCAGCAAUCACAUGAAUAUCUACUUCCUCCCUAACUUGCAGCUUUGCAUUUCAAAUUGAAAAUGGGUUUGAUUAUAAACCCCAGAUCAUCAAGCAACUGUCCCUCUCUCUUUCAAUUUUCACCCUUUCCUUCCCCCUGAUCCCAAUCCUGUCUGUCACCUGCUCCUUCCCCUCCUGAGGUUGGAAUACACACCAAGGCUUGGUUUAUUGCUGGAAUCUUUCUGCUGCUGACGGUCCCUAUCUCGCUGUGGGGGAUCCUGCAGCACCUCGUGCAUUACACACAGCCUGAGCUACAGAAGCCGAUCAUAAGGGUUUUUGGAUGGUAUGCACAGGGGCAGGGAUAUAGCUCAGGAGCACAAGCACAAGCCCAAGGUCCUGAGUUUGACUCCUGGUACCAAAAAGAAAAAAACAGUGGAUGGUACACAUACAGUUUAGACAGUUCCCUGAAGCCAAAGACCCUCAGAAACAUUUCCCUCCUUUAUGGUGCUGUCCACCGUGGGCUAUGGGAGAGCCACACCUUCUGAAGGUUCCACCACUUCCCAACAGUGCUACCUGCUCAGAACCAAGCCUUUAACAUACGGGCCUUUGCGAGACAUUUCGGAUGCAAACUGUAGCAGGGACCCACUUCUGCCCCUUUUGUUCUGUGUGACACUAUUCUGGAACUCCAGACUAUAUGAAAAGUGAAAUCUUUCAGGGUGUUGCUAUUUAGGUGCAAACUGGGUGUGCUGCAGUACAGUUGUCAGACCAGUCACCACCGUCGCUCUGUAAGUACACAGACCCUACAGGCAUCGUUUUAAAUCCUUGUACCCUGAAGCAGAAACAACUAGGUAGAAAACAGUAUGAAUUGUUAAUAAAACAAGCCUAGCCUGCUAGAAAAAUCUCAGUAUAUAAAAGCCUUACUCUGUGAAGAUAAAUGACUGUUCACAGGCAAAGAGUCAGCAGGAUUUACAUCCUCUCUAGAGUAUGCCAUGAAGCAUUUUCAAAAAGGUGCUUUUUCAAAUGUGAA